CCUACGGGAGGCAGCAGUGAGGAAUAUUGGUCAAUGGCCGUAAGGCUGAACCAGCCACGUCGCGUGAAGGAUGAAGGAUCUCUGGUUUGUAAACUUCUUUUAUAGGGGAAUAAAGAUAUCCACGUGUGGAUAUUUGUAUGUACCCUAUGAAUAAGCAUAGGCUAACUCCGGGCCAGCAGUCGCGGUAAUACGGAGGAUGCGAGCGUUAUCCGGAUUUAUUGGGUUUAAAGGGUGCGUCGGUGGUUUUUUAAGUCAGCGGUGAAAGUUUGUGGCUCAACCAUAAAAUUGCCGUUGAAACUGGAAGACUUGAGUGUGUUUGAGGUAGGCGGAAUGCGUGGUGUAGCGGUGAAAUGCAUAGAUAUCACGCAGAACUCCGAUUGCGAAGGCAGCUUACUAAGCCAUAACUGACACUGAAGCACGAAAGCGUGGGGAUCAAACAGGAUUAGAUACCCCGGUAGUC
rnacentral:rRNA from 1 species